rnacentral:lncRNA from 1 species
AUGCCAUUCUGUGUUUCAUGCGCCCGCCCGGCCCCAAGGCGCGGAGUUGAGCCAGGGGAGAAAGAGGGGAAGCGGGGGUGGGGGGGCGCAAACUCUUGCAGCCCGGCAGUGAGGCUGCACUUGACGCCGCGCGGCCCUCCAGCCUGCCUCGCACCCCCUCCGGCGGCCGCCUCCGCGGGCGCGCUCGAGCAUCCGGCUGGAGACUGCGCGGGAGCCCGCCCCCGCGCCCCGCUCAUUGGCCGCGCCGGCCUCUUCGUCACGCUCUUUUGUCUCCGUGCGCAGAGGAUAAAAGCCUCGGCGGCUGCCGUGGGAACCGCGCUGUCGGGACUCGGCUACCCCUCGCCGGGAGGCCGUGCGAAGCAGCUCCCCGGGCAGCUCCCGGUCGCCUGGCGGCCGAGGCCGUGCCCGUGCCUUUUCCCUGCGGGGCCGCGGAGAGCGGAAGGCGGCAUCCAUCGCCCGCAAGGCCUGAGCGUCCGCUGCCCACCGGCCCAGCACAGGCCAUUAAAGCCGGAUGCGAACUUGGAUUCUGUGUGGCUGAUUGCGGAGCUGUCUGGACGCCCCGAGGUCCCGGAUCGGCGACCCCCGGUGGACAGAGAACUAGCGUAGCCGGACGACGAGCUUUCGCACCAAGGCCACCGGUUGCAGAAGCUGGGAGUGAAAUAAAGGCGCGCGCGCCGGGUCCUGCGCUCCUGUAAGAUUCUGAGAAAUAACGGGGGAGGGGAGAACUUUGAGAAGGGGGUGUGGCUGGGACCUGAGGCCAGGAGGUUAAGGAGACCAGACCUUAUUUAUUCCUACAAAUCUGUGACCACUGUGCUCUAUUUUGAGAGCCCAAUGUCAGCUUCCAUACACUCUCAUACUUAGAAUUAGAAGCAACAGUUGCCCUCCUGGACGACUGGCGGGAGGGGAUGGAUGUGGCUGUAAAAAGCACCCUGCUAGCACAGAGACACCGGCUGGCUCCGUGAGGUUGUAAUUGCCAGUCUCCUAGAAGAUAUUUUUAGGGCAGUGGGCAGAUAUAAAAUGUACUGCAGGACAUUCGGGAAGGGAGAAACCCAAUUGCAGCCAGUUCCCUUCUUAACUCCUCCCCGUUGUUUUUCUUUUUCACAGCCCCUACCGAGAUAGGAAGAAGGCAGAGUGCCCCAGCGCGCCCGCAGGUUAGGCUUCCCCACAAAGCCUGAGCAGCUUGUUGUGUUCGGAUACCGGAGCGUCG